UGGAGAUAUGCUCGCUAUUUACAUAUGUAUAAAUGUCGCGUUAACGUAUCUCGGUCUCCUUAUUUUGCGAGCAUCAUCAUCGUUCGGGACUUUUUUUCUGUUUUCUUUUGCUAUCAUAUCUCAUUCUUCUUCUCUUUCUCUUUCUCUCUUCCUAACUCUCCCCCACCCCCAGCCCACAACCCCCCUCUAUCUCUUUUUCUUUAUAUAUGAACGAGGAGAAAAAGAAAGGCGAGAGAUACCCAAAUGUGUUUUGUGUUUCGGUGAAAUAAAUAUAAUUAUUUUAUGUUAUUAAUAUAAUUUUAUACAAAUUCCAUAUGUUACUUAUAUUUUCUGUUAAUAGUUACGGAACGCUCGAGUUAUUAGCUCGAAUCAAAUGGAAUAACCCUGUCUGAUAUUUAUCAUUUCGUUUGUUUUUUAUUAUUUCUCUUUUUUUUUUUUUUUUGCUACUUAAUAAAAAUUAGAUUCAUAUAAAAAAAAAAAAUACGCUCCGAAUUUGAGAUAUGUACUGGUGUACGUAAGCUUGAGAUCACAGAGAUUGGUAUUUGAUAUAUUAAGAUGUCUUCUUUUCUUUUUCGUUUUUCUUUUUUUUUUCUUUUUUUUUUUUUUUUAAUUAUCACUUAUUAAUUAUUUGGCACGAUUAAUCGACACUGAGAUUGUUAACGAUUCUUACAGUGACAAUACUGUAAUGAACGAUACGAAGAUUGUUAGAGCUUUUUCUAAGCACUUAUUCGUGACUAUAUAUUAUGUGAAAUGGAAAAAAGAAGAAGUAUAAGAAGAAAAAGUUAGAAAUAUUAAAACGACGAUGGAACAAUCGGUACAAUAAUUAUCACAGCGUUGUAUCGAGAUUAAUGAUUUAUCGGCGAGUACGACACAAUGAUACCUAUGAAUACAUAAAAAAGAUCUAAGAAAUUGGCAAGAUCGAGAAAUAGAUUGAACGAAACGUUUUCUUCGCAGUAAUAUUGUUAAUAUUAUCGUGCGAAUAAGAAUCGUUGGAAAUAAUACAAUUGACUUAAACAUGAAGGUAUUAAAUAAAAAUCAGACAACGAAACAAAAAAGAAGAAA